CGAUGGAGGGGGAUAACUACUGGAAACGGUAGCUAAUACCGCAUAACGUCGCAAGACCAAAGAGGGGGACCUUCGGGCCUCUUGCCAUCGGAUGUGCCCAGAUGGGAUUAGCUAGUAGGUGGGGUAACGGCUCACCUAGGCGACGAUCCCUAGCUGGUCUGAGAGGAUGACCAGCCACACUGGACUGAGACACGGCCCAG
rnacentral:rRNA from 1 species